GUUUGCUUCGGCAGCACAUAUAUAUACUAAAAUUGGAACGAGACAGAGAAGAUUAGCAUGGCCCCUGCGGAAGAUGACAUGCAAAUUCAUGAAGCGUUCCAUAUUUUU
ensembl:snRNA U6 U6 spliceosomal RNA